rnacentral:rRNA from 2 species
AGAGUUUGAUCCUGGCUCAGGAUGAACGCUGGCGGCGUGCUUAACACAUGCAAGUCGAACGAAGCACUUUAUUUGAUUUCCUUCGGGACUGAUUAUUUUGUGACUGAGUGGCGGACGGGUGAGUAACGCGUGGGUAACCUGCCUUGUACAGGGGGAUAACAGUUGGAAACGGCUGCUAAUACCGCAUAAGCGCACGGCAUCGCAUGAUGCAGUGUGAAAAACUCCGGUGGUAUAAGAUGGACCCGCGUUGGAUUAGCUAGUUGGUGAGGUAACGGCCCACCAAGGCGACGAUCCAUAGCCGACCUGAGAGGGUGACCGGCCACAUUGGGACUGAGACACGGCCCAAACUCCUACGGGAGGCAGCAGUGGGGAAUAUUGCACAAUGGGGGAAACCCUGAUGCAGCGACGCCGCGUGAGCGAAGAAGUAUUUCGGUAUGUAAAGCUCUAUCAGCAGGGAAGAUAAUGACGGUACCUGACUAAGAAGCACCGGCUAAAUACGUGCCAGCAGCCGCGGUAAUACGUAUGGUGCAAGCGUUAUCCGGAUUUACUGGGUGUAAAGGGAGCGCAGGCGGUGCGGCAAGUCUGAUGUGAAAGCCCGGGGCUCAACCCCGGUACUGCAUUGGAAACUGUCGUACUAGAGUGUCGGAGGGGUAAGCGGAAUUCCUAGUGUAGCGGUGAAAUGCGUAGAUAUUAGGAGGAACACCAGUGGCGAAGGCGGCUUACUGGACGGUAACUGACGUUGAGGCUCGAAAGCGUGGGGAGCAAACAGGAUUAGAUACCCUGGUAGUCCACGCCGUAAACG